GACGAACGCUGGCGGCGUGCCUAAUACAUGCAAGUCGAACGCUUCUUUCCUCCCGAGUGCUUGCACUCAAUUGGAAAGAGGAGUGGCGGACGGGUGAGUAACACGUGGGUAACCUACCCAUCAGAGGGGGAUAACACUUGGAAACAGGUGCUAAUACCGCAUAACAGUUUAUGCCGCAUGGCAUCAGAGUGAAAGGCGCUUUCGGGUGUCGCUGAUGGAUGGACCCGCGGUGCAUUAGCUAGUUGGUGAGGUAACGGCUCACCAAGGCCACGAUGCAUAGCCGACCUGAGAGGGUGAUCGGCCACACUGGGACUGAGACACGGCCCAGACUCCUACGGGAGGCAGCAGUAGGGAAUCUUCGGCAAUGGACGAAAGUCUGACCGAGCAACGCCGCGUGAGUGAAGAAGGUUUUCGGAUCGUAAAACUCUGUUGUUAGAGAAGAACAAGGACGUUAGUAACUGAACGUCCCCUGACGGUAUCUAACCAGAAAGCCACGGCUAACUACGUG
rnacentral:rRNA from 1 species